UGUGUUGCUUGCAAGGGCAUAUGGUGGAUGCCUUGGCAGAUUGAACCGAUGAAAGACGUAUGAGGCUGCGAUAAGCCUCGGGGAGCCGCCAACAGGGCUUUGAUCCGAGGAUUUCUGAAUGUGGAAACACACCGCCCGUUAUGGGGUGGUACCGCUUAUGCGGGGGGUACGCAGGGAAGUGAAACAUCUCAGUACCUGCAGGAAAAGAUAUUCCGUGAGUAGUGGCGAGCGAAAGCGGAUCAGGCUAAACCGGUUGCGUGUGAUAGCUGUCAGGCGUUGCGCAGUCGGUGUCGUGGGAAAGUAUGUCCGGUCGCUGAUGAGGCCGGCAACAGUAAGAAAACAAUGUGUGAGACGAACAGGAUUGAAUACCUGGCCGAAGAGGGUGAUGGCCCCGUAGUCGAACGCGCGUUGUCUGUUGAUUGCUUCUCCCAAGUAGUACGGGACUCGAGGAAUCCCGUGCGAAUCCGUCCAGACCGUUGGAUAAGCCUAAAUAUUUCAAUCUGACCGAUAGCGAACGAGUACCGUGAGGGAAAGGUGAAAAGUACCCCGGGAGGGGAGUGAAAUAGUUUCUGAAACCAUGUGCUUACAAACCGUCGGAGCCUUUCGGGGUGACGGCGUGCCUAUCGAAAAAUGAGUCUGCGAGUCAGUGAUAUGUGGCAAGGUUAACCCGAGUGGGGGAUCCGUAGCGAAAGCGAGUCUUAAAAGGCGUUUUAGUCGCAUGUCCUGGACCCGAAGCGGGAUGAUCUAGCCCUGAGCAGGUUGAAGCGCGGGUAAGACCGCGUGGAGGACCGAACCCACUUAGGUUGAAAACUGAGGGGAUGACUUGGGGUUAGGGGUGAAAGGCCAAUCAAAUUCCGUGAUAGCUGGUUCUCUCCGAAAUGCAUUUAGGUGCAGCGUCGAUUGAUUGCUUCCAGGGGGUAGAGCUACUGGAUGCUUGCGGGCCCAUAUCGGGUACCAACAGCAGCCAAACUCCGAAUACCUGUGAAGUCUAUUUCGGCAGUGAGUCUGCGGGGGAUAAGCUUCGUAGUCAAAAGGGAAACAGCCCAGAUCGUCGUCUAAGGUCCCUAAGCGUGUGCUAAGUGGGAAAGGAUGUGGAGUCGCAUAGACAGCCAGGAGGUUGGCUCAGAAGCAGCCAUCCUUGAAAGAGUGCGUAACAGCUCACUGGUCUAGUGGUUCCGCGCCGACAAUGUAGCGGGGCUCAAGCACACCACCGAAGACGCGGCAUUAGUCUUAUGGCUAAUGGGUAGGAGAGCGUUCCGUACGGGGCGAAGCGGCGAGGGAACUCAGCCGUGGACUGUACGGAAGUGAGAAUGCAGACAUGAGUAGCGAAAUGGGAGUGACAAUCUCCCACGCUGGAUGACUAAGGGUUCCAGGGCCACGUUCAUCGUCCCUGGGUUAGUCGGGUCCUAAGGCGAGGCCGACAGGCGUAGUCGAAUGGAUGAAGGAGUUGAUAUUCUCCUACCGGCUUUCAACCGUCAAAUCCGAGAUUUGGGGUACUAACCUCCUCGUUGACUUGAGGCGGCCUUCGGGUCGUCGAUGGUUUUCGGGUUGGGACCUUCCCUUACAGUAGGACAGCACAGGAGUGACACAGAAUGGUAACCGGCUGCGGAGGUGGUCUUCCGUGGUUAAGCACGCAGGGUGUUCGGUAGGUAAAUCCGCCGGAUAUUGCCCGAGGUGUGAUGAUGGGGGCUUUUUAGCCCGAACUCGGCGAUCCAGGCUGUCAAGAAAAACUUCGGUGUUAGGUUGUUAGCCGCCCGUACCCUAAACCAACACAGGUGGUCAGGUAGAGAAUACCAAAGCGAUCGAGCGAAUCCUGGUCAAGGAACUCGGCAAAUUACUCCCGUGCCUUCGGUAUAAGGGAGACCCGUCUCGGUGGACUUCUUCACGGAGCGAGCUGUAGCGGGUGGCACAGACCAGGGGGUAGCGACUGUUUACCAAAAACACAGGUGCAUGCGAAGACGAAAGUCGCUGUAUAUGCACUGACGCCUGCCCGGUGCCGGAAGGUUAAGAGGAUCUGUCAGCUUCGGCGAAGCAGUGAAUUUAAGCCCCGGUAAACGGCGGUGGUAACUAUAACCAUCCUAAGGUAGCGAAAUUCCUUGUCGGGUAAGUUCCGACCUGCACGAAUGGCGUAACGACUUCCCCACUGUCUCGACCAGGAGCUCGGCGAAAUUGCAGUACGAGUAAAGAUGCUCGUUAAGCGCAGAAGGACGAAAAGACCCCGGGACCUUUACUAUACCUUGGUAUUGGUAUUAGGUGCGAACUGUGUAGCAUAGGCGGGAGACUUUGAAGCUUGGGUGCCAACUCGAGUGGAGUCAACAAUUGAAAUACCGCUCUGUUCUCAUUUGAUAUCUAACCUCGAUGUGUUAUCCACAUCAGGGACAGUGCCUGGCGGGUAGUUUAACUGGGGCGGUUGCCUCCUAAAGAGUAACGGAGGCGCUCAAAGGUUCCCUCAGCCCGGUUGGCAAUCGGGUGUUGAGUGUAAUUGCACAAGGGAGCUUGACUGUGAGACUGACAGGUCGAGCAGGGACGAAAGUCGGAAAUAGUGAUCCGGUGCCGGUGUACGGACGCGGCAUCGCUCAACGGAUAAAAGGUACCCCGGGGAUAACAGGCUGAUCAUUCCCAAGAGUCCAUAUCGACGGGAUGGUUUGGCACCUCGAUGUCGGCUCGUCGCAUCCUGGGGCUGUAGCAGGUCCCAAGGGUUCGGCUGUUCGCCGAUUAAAGCGGCACGCGAGCUGGGUUCAGAACGUCGUGAGACAGUUUGGUCUCUAUCCUCUGCGCUCGUUGGAAUUUUGAGAAGACCUGCCCAUAGUACGAGAGGACCUGGGUGGACGAACCUCUGGUAUGCCAGUUGUCGCGCCAGCGGCACGGCUGGUUAGCUACGUUCGGAAGGGAUAACCGCUGAAAGCAUCUAAGCGGGAAGCCUGCUUCAAGAUAAGAAUUCCAUGAGACCUCGAGUCUCUGAAGACUCCAUGUAGAACACAUGGUUGAUAGGCCGGAUGUGGAAGCCCCGUAAGGGGUGGAGCUGACCGGUACUAACAGUCGAAAGGCAAUCAUACU
rnacentral:rRNA from 1 species